rnacentral:rRNA from 1 species
CAGCCCCUCGAGUGGUGGGGAUGAUUAUUUGGCCUAAAGCGUCCGUAGCCGGCCGGGUAAGUUUCCCGUUAAAUCCAGCGUCUCAAGCGUUGGACUGCGGGAAAUACUGCCUGGCUAGAGAGUGGGAGAGGUCAGCGGUAUUCUGGGGGUAGGGGCGAAAUCCUUUGAUCCCCGGAGGACCACCAGUGGCGAAGGCUGCUGACUAGAACACGUCUGACGGUCAGGGACGAAAGCUGGGGUAGCGAACCGGAUUAGAUACCCGUGUAGUCC